rnacentral:rRNA from 1 species
GAUGAACGCUGGCGGCGUGCCUAAUACAUGCAAGUCGAGCGAACAGACGAGGAGCUUGCUCCUUCGACGUUAGCGGCGGACGGGUGAGUAACACGUAGGUAACCUACCUAUAAGACUGGGAUAACUUCGGGAAACCGGAGCUAAUACCGGAUAAUAUUUCGAACCGCAUGGUUCGAUAGUGAAAGAUGGCUUUGCUAUCACUUAUAGAUGGACCUGCGCCGUAUUAGCUAGUUGGUAAGGUAACGGCUUACCAAGGCAACGAUACGUAGCCGACCUGAGAGGGGGAUCGCCCACACGGGAAUGGAGACCCGGCCCAGACUCCAAGGGGGGGCAGCAGUAGGGAAUUUUCCGAAAGGGGCGAAAGCCUAACGGAGAAACGCCGGGUGGGUGAAGAAGGCCUUCGGAUCGUAAAACUCUUUUUUGAGGGAAAAAAAAACGUGUAAGAAACGGGGCCCGUUUGGAGGGUACCAAAUAAGAAAACCACGGCUAACUACGU